rnacentral:rRNA from 1 species
AUUGAACGCUGGCGGAAUGCUUUACACAUGCAAGUCGAACGGCAGCACGGGGCAACCUGGUGGCGAGUGGCGAACGGGUGAGUAAUACAUCGGAACGUGCCCAAUCGUGGGGGAUAACGUAGCGAAAGUUACGCUAAUACCGCAUACGAUCUACGGAUGAAAGCGGGGGAUCGCAAGACCUCGCGCGGACGGAGCGGCCGAUGGCAGAUUAGGUAGUUGGUGGGGUAAAAGCCUACCAAGCCGACGAUCUGUAGCUGGUCUGAGAGGACGACCAGCCACACUGGGACUGAGACACGGCCCAGACUCCUACGGGAGGCAGCAGUGGGGAAUUUUGGGACAAUGGGCGCAAGCCUGAUCCAGCCAUGCCGCGUGCGGGAAAGGCCUCGGUGUAACCGCUUUGUCAGGAAGAACGCUCUGGGCUAAUACCCUGGGGUAAUGACGGUACCUGAAGAAUAAGCACCGGCUAACUACGUAGCCAGCAGCCGCGGUAUGCUACGUACG